rnacentral:sRNA from 1 species
GGAUGUGAGGGCCAUCUGGCUGCGACAUCUGUCACCCCAUUGAUCGCCAGGGUUGAUUCGGCUGAUCUGGCUGGCUAGGCGGGUGUCCCCUUCCUCCCUCACCGCUCCAUGUGCGUCCCUCCCGAAGCUCGGUCGAAGAGGACGACCUUCCCCGAUAGAGGAGGACCGUUCUUC